rnacentral:tRNA from 2 species
GGAGGGUUCGCAUAGAGGUCUAGUGCGCUCGCUUGGAGAGCGAGUAUGGGGCAACCCAUCGAGAGUUCGAAUCUCUCACCCUCCG